rnacentral:rRNA from 1 species
UACGAAGGGGGCUAGCGUUGCUCGGAAUCACUGGGCGUAAAGGGUGCGUAGGCGGCUCUUUAAGUCGGGGGUGAAAUCCUGGAGCUCAACUCCAGAACUGCCUUUGAUACUGAAGAUCUUGAGUUCGGGAGAGGUGAGUGGAACUGCGAGUGUAGAGGUGAAAUUCGUAGAUAUUCGCAAGAACACCAGUGGCGAAGGCGGCGCACUGGCCCGAUACUGACGCUGAGGCACGAAAGCGUGGGGAGCAAACAGG